UGAUAUUUAAAGUAUUUGUAACUUUAGUAUGAUAGUUUCAACACACAUAUAUAAAUUAGAUUAGAUUUAAAUUAGGGAGAGUUUUGGGGUAUUUCUUAGAAAAAAUAAAAGUAAAUUAAAAAAUUAUUCUCAAAUGAGUUCAUUUGGAAGAUAUUGGGGAUUUUUUGCUUGCAUGUAACCCACUGACCAUGACACCUGGGCCGCACAGCUGCAGCAUCUGGCGGGCAGCCCGUGCGUGAAGCGCGCCUCCCCAGACGCACGCUGGUGGCGGGCAGCUCCCCACACAACAGACGGGGAUGUGGAGGUCAGGCGCGCACCAGCGCGGACUUCCUGCCAAAAUAUCUGUUCCUGCUGUGGGAUUACGCACCGCUGCUGAGCAUCCCACGCUGCACGUCCGCGCGCUUCCCAUCUUCCGGGCUAAAGCAGGUGUCCCGGCGCGUCCCCGAGGUCCGGAGAGCGACAGAAAGAAGAAGAAGAAGAAGAAGUGACCGCACUGUUGCUGCAUCCGACGCUUCGAGUCUCUGCAGCAAACCGGGCAAGAAAUGCUGGGAUGCUCGACUGACCGCGGCGGCGCGCAGAGGUUAGACUCUCAGUCAACAAAGGGUCGCGGCUGCGAGCACAUCCACUCUCAUCCUCAUCCCAGUCGUGGAGGGUCCCCCACCUGCCUGCUUGCAUCCCAGCAGCAGUAGAAGUCUUUCUUUCUUUCUUUCUUAUUCUGAUGGUUGUUUAAAAGAGAGGCCUUCGCUCUGUCAGCAAAUCACCUGAGGUUGGGUGCAAAUGUGUGAGCUCAGCUGUCGGGCUAUGAAGGAGAGCUGUUCUGUUCUGGGUUGACUUGAGAGCGACGGGACAAUCUGAGUGAGGAGCAGCCAUGGGGCUCGGACAGUCCAGUAAGACGCUGGUCAGCGACGACACAGAUGACGUGAAUUUUGACCAUUUCCAGAUCCUGAGGGCAAUAGGAAAAGGCAGUUUUGGAAAGGUAAGUUUACAAGGAUUUUAUUUUCAUACAGAGUUAGAUUUUAAGCAAAUGUUUAAAAAUGAAACAAUAAUACCAACAUAAAGAUGCAAGAUGUUUAAAAUUGUAAAGCUAAUCUUAAAACAGAAGA